GGUUUUUAUAGCGAUUGAACAAGAAUAAAUAUUCUCAAAAUUAUCCAUUGAUACGACAUGCUGUUUUUUCCAUUCAUUCCUUUCAGGAUCAGUUCGCAGUCUUACAACUCUCCCGAAGAUUUGGACGAAUUCUUUUGCUUCAUAGAAAUGUGUAAAAGAUGCUAGCCGUACUUAAAGCCGAGUACUCUACCGUUGAGUUAGCAACCCAAUAUUCGAAUGGUAGAUAGAAUCGGAAUAAAAAAAAAAUAAAAAAAAAAAAAAGGAUUUCAAAACGGAAUCAAAAAAUGAAAUUAGCAAGAACUCGAAUCAAAAAAAUUUCUAAUCGAUUUUGAACAUAAAAAAAGACAACCAAAACCUAUGGAACGGAGAUAAAUGGGCCCAUUUCUCCAUGAGAAAAUUAUAUUUGUUCACUACAAUAUUGUCAAUAUGACAUUGAAUAUUGAAUAGCAAGAUUGAGAAUACUAAAAACAUACAAUAACAAAAACAAAAAGAGUUAAUUGGUUAUUUAUUAAAUUGAAUUCAAAUUCCAAAUAACAAAUCAAAUUAUAUAUUAAUAAUAGAUAUAAUAAAUAUGGAAAUUAAUAAAUAAUAUCUAAAGAAUUAGAUAAAUAAAAAACUUAAGAAUACUUUUUUAGAGUUUUAGAGAAAGACUUCAAAAAAAACCGAAAGAAUAGGUCUGAAUAGAACAAAAGGGGGGAUAGUAAAGAAAAAUUAUACAAAACUAGAUAAAGCGCAUCCACACCCUCUUUUUUGUUCUAUUCCUUAAUAGAAUUUCGUUUGAUUAAGACUAACUUCUGUAAAAACCCCCGCUUUCUGUGAAAUAUCAUGAACGGUUCCUGUAGGUUGAGCGCCCUUGGCAAGGAAAUAUAGAAUAGCAGGAACAUUUAAAUGGGUUUGAUUAUUUAUCGGAUCAUAAAACCCACUUUCCGAAGAUCUCUUCCUUCUCUUCGGGAUCGACCAUCAAUUGCAACGAUUCGAUAAACGGCUCAUUGGAUAGAUAUAGAUGAACAGUACCCCCCCUAGAAACGUAUAAGAAGUUUUCUCCUCGUACGGCUCGAGAAAACAAAAUGGUUCGAGUGAUAGUUAUGUCUAUGUAUAGAAUUAGAAUGUCAAUAGAUCUAUAAAAUAAUCAAAUCAAUUAGAGAUUUAAGUUAUUCUUUUUUUGUUUCUUUGUCAUUUUCAAAAGAAACAAAAAAAGAAUUCGUACUCUCAUAACUCAAGUUAGAUAAGUUUCAACGCCCAGCCGAAAAUCCUUAGGCAUUUCCUUUUUUGAGCGGUCUCAAGCCCUUUUUUGUUUGUCUCGUUUCGAAUCGAAUCUAUUUUUGGAUUGGAUUGAAUUGUUGAGACAAUUGAAAAAUGGUAUUUCCUUGUUCCAGGAUCCUUUAUCUUUGCUUUGAAUCAUUAGGUUUAGACAUUACUUCGGUGAUCUUUAACGUUUUUUUAUUUUAAAAAAAUGGCAGCAACACACCCCUUUUGAUUUCUUUCUAUCAAAGAAUCAUACGAACAAUUGAUUCCUACAGGAUACACUUUUGGUAGAAAAAGUUUUCCCAAUUCCAACAAAUUUCCCCUUGCUUUUGGAUUUCAAAAUUGCUCGAAUCAGAUCCUUUCGAUUUCUUAUAUCGAAAAUUUACUUACGAAGUUUUUUCCAACUUAUUGAUUGGUAUUAACCCUAGAUCCGUGCCCCUGAGAAAGGAAUAAAUACUUUAUACUCGAGCUCCAUCCUGUACUAGUUCCAUUACCCCCCAAAAAAACUUGAGGAUUCUAAUAGAACAGAAGAAAAAAUGUCGAGCCAAGAGCCCAUUCAUAUAAAAUCGAAAAUGGUGGAUGUAAAAAACAAAUCCACAGCGGAUCAUGUCCUUCAAGUCGCACGUUGCUUUCUACCACAUCGUUUCAAACGAAGUUUUACCAUAACAUUUCUCUAGUUUGGAACCGGUAUGUAAUUGAUUCCAGUAUGGAAUCAUGAAUAGUCAUUGCUUCGGUCGAUACACAGACUUUUUUCCUUGUAUAUGAAGGGAAUAUUUAGGUUGUUAGUCGUUCAUCCGGAAUCCUGAAAUGAAAAAGAAAAUCAGAAUUACAAAAAUGGGCGAUUUCCGUAUCUAUCAGAUUAGACUGAACAAUUUUCGUUGGAAGUAAUUAUGUAUAUUGUAUGUUAAAUAUUUAAUUUAACAGGAAGAUAAGGGCUCACAAAUCUUAAAAGCAAAAGGACGUUAUCUCUGAAAUAGAAGGAUAGCAAUCCAUGCAUAUAAGCCUUUCCUCAAAUUAUGUGUCGUUUCUUUGGCUUGGGCUUCAGAUUCAAUAAUCUUUCCCCAAAUUCAAAAUAAAAUAAAUAAAAUAGAAAAUAAAGUAAAUAGUAUAAAAUUCAAGUAAAUAGACUAUAUGAAUAACCCCCGUCUCAAUUGUUAUUCCAGAGAUUUACAAUUAUUCAUUAAAAAAAGACCAAGACCGCAAAAUUUGGGUUAGAAUCAAAGAGCCUCCAUUCCAUAUAGAGCGGGAUUAUUGGUUAAUGAAAUUUGGACCGACACCGAUAUUCAAAUCGGUAUCUUUCAUUGCUCACUAACUCUUACCUACUCCCACCCCGAAUUCUUUCUGUGGGAAUCCUAAAUAAAUAAAAAAAAAAAAGAUCCCAUUUUACGGAAUGCUAGACUAUUUUGUAUAGAUACAAAGACAAAAGGGCCCAGAUUAAGUCAUUGUUUCCUUUCUAAUUUGUUGUUUUUUAUUUUAAUCUAACCUAGUCUUACUUAAGAGACUUAAUCCGAAUUCAAUCAGUACCAGGAAUACCCUCUUGUUUAGAAUUCCGAAAUGAAAAGAGAAUAAUUGGGAUUCUAAAAAGAUAGGAAUGGGGAGGCUUUCCCAUUUCGAUUUAGAAUGGAUCUUUGAAAAUUCAAUUCGAGGGGGGGGCGUCAGACUUUUCUACGAAACUCGCUUAAAUAUGAAAGUGAAUGAAAGAGGAAGAGGGGGGCAUACGCAAAAACGCCCAUCCAACGUUUUUUAAUUCAAACUCUUGUGAUCGAUGUUCCCGCUUGCGGGGACCACAAAUGCAUUCAGUUCCAUUUUCGUAUUAUUUGAAUUCGAUUCAAUUUGUGAAAAAAGAUCUGGUUGAGAAAAUAAUUUUUUUAAUUCGAAAAAAAAAAAAAAAGAAAAAGACGUACACGUAUAUUUUAUCAAUAUAUACUUAAGAGGGUUGCUCAACGGGAAUUGAAAAUUUUUAUUCUGCCCGGUCUGGGACGGAAGGAUUCGAACCUCCGAAUACCGGGACCAAAACCCGUUGCCUUACCACUUGGCGACGCCCCAUUUCAAUUUCGAUUUGGUACUAAUAAAGAGUACCAGUGGUAUUGGCUGUUCGUCAAUUCCAGUCCAAAGCCCCAAAAUUCGAUUCUGAUUUUAGUGUUAGGAUUUUGACACAUAUAGGUGUAAAAUACAACUUAAUUUAUUGAUCAUUACAUAGAAUUCAAUUAAGAUAUUGUAUGAAAGUAUGAUUUCUUCAAUUCUCACACGAGAAUAGAAGGAUUUUUGUUUUGAUUGGGUCGGUUCCAAGAAGUUUUUUUUGUCUACCUUACUUUCUUUUCUUCAUUUUUAUCUUAUAUCAAUAAGAUAUUAAUAACUCAAUCAAAAUAAAAUUAUCUCCAAGAACAAAAUGUUUGUUAUGCUUAAUAUCUUUAGUUUAAUGUAUAUCUGUCUUAAUUCUGCCCUUUAUUCGAGUAGUUUUUUAUUCGCUAAAUUACCCGAGGCCUACGCUUUUUUGAAUCCAAUUGUAGAUAUUAUGCCAGUAAUACCUGUUCUAUUUUUUCUCUUAGCCUUUGUUUGGCAAGCUGCUGUAAGUUUUCGAUAAGAUCUUUAAUAUUGUGCUAGAAAAUUCAUGAUUUAUUCUAGUUCGAAAAAAAAAAAAUUCUAACAAUUAAUAAAUAAGAGCAGAUGAGUCUUACAAUAUGAACGAACCCCCGCCUCAAUUCAAACAUUCAAACAAUGAAAUUCUUGGGGAACCGCGAUCCAUUUUGAUCCCCCAUUUGCUAUUUGCAAUUUUGACCCUUUUUCACUGAAACCAUCUUAUAUUAGAGCCAACCAAAAUGUAGAAUUCUAAUUGUGUGAAUUUAAUUUAUGAAAACGAUUUUCUAUUUAGAGAAUCAAUUCUAAAAAGAACUUCAUUUCUUGAUGUCAAAAUUGGAUAUGUAGUAUAAAAAUAGAGAAUCUAUUCUCUUUUUCCUUUUCCCCAAAAACCUGAUUUGGAGAUUGUGUAAUGCUUACUCUCAAACUCUUUGUUUACACCGUAGUGAUAUUCUUUGUUUCGCUCUUCAUCUUCGGAUUCCUGUCUAAUGAUCCAGGGCGUAAUCCCGGACGCGAAGAAUAAAAAAGGAAGGAGUUGCUUACUUUAUUCGUAUAAACGUUCUUAGGAUUUUUUGAUUCCCAGUUACUAUUAAAAAUAAAGUAAAAGUGUUCGCUAAGUUAAAUUUGAAAAUACCAAGCCAUCGCCCGAAACGGAAAGAGAGGGAUUCGAACCCUCGGUACGAAGAACUCGUACACCGGAUUAGCAAUCCGACGCUUUAAUCCACUCAGCCAUCUCUCCUAAUUGAAAAUAAAAAAAUAAAAAAAAAAAUGACUAUGUUACAUUACACAAAAAAUAAUGCUUGAAAAAGCCCGUCUUUACUUGAUUUUCUAUCUUUACUUUCUAUAUUCUCUUCUAUAUUCUCUAGAAGAGAAUAUAGAAAGUAAAUUGAUUAUAUAGCUCAUAGAAAAUAUAGCUUAUAGAAUUUCUUUUUUUUUAUUGUCUUUUGUAUUCUAUUAUAUAAAUAGAUAUAACUUUUAUCAGCAAUUCCAUUUCUAUCAUUUUUCGAAAUUAAAAUAAAGAAAGUAUUCGAAAGAGAUAAAAUAGAAAAAAAUAAAGAAAAGAAUAUCUCUUUAAUUUCGUUCAACGGGGCCUUUUUUAUUUCCACUUCCACGGCUGGCCUGGUCAGUACCAGCCGGGCCUUUUUUUGUUCUAAUGACCCAUACCGCUGAACCGUAGAAAGGGUGCGAACCAUACCAUAAAAAAACGAUUUAUUUGAAUUUGAUUUGAAAACCACAAAAUGAAAUCCUUGUUAUUGUAUUCAAAGGAACAAUAAAAGAAGGACUAUUUCCAUUUUUUGAUUGAAUCAAGAAUCCAAAUUUGUAUUUGGUGUGUGGAUAAAAGUUAUUUUGUCGAGCCAUAUCUGUCAAAAUUCGUCCAACAAAAGAAAUUGUUUUGAAUUAUUAAAUUUAGUUAUUUAAACGAAAUAACUCCUCCUUUACGAGGACUCCUGACAAAGACGUCAACGUUCUAAUUUCCAAUUUUCAUUUCAUGAUUAUUUUAAAUUUAUGUCCUAUCUUGAUUACAUCUGAUUCUCUUGUUCGACAAAGGGCCCUUUUUAUACAAUAAUCGCAUUGUAGCGGGUAUAGUUUAGUGGUAAAAGUGUGAUUCGUUCAAUUAAUCCCCUUAAUAGUUAAGGGUCCUUCAGUUUAAUUGAUAUUUCAAUCAAAAACUUUAUUUCUUAAAAGGAUUCAAUUUUAAUCCUUUCACUCUCAAAUUUAAAUAAAAGAUUCGGAGAAAAAUAUCCGUUCUCGUGAUUUGUAUCCAAGAGUCAAUUCGAAAUUGACAAUUUGGAUUAUGAAAUUGCGAAACAUAAUUUUGUUUUUUGUUUUUGAAUUGGAUCAAUACUUCCAAUUUUUUAAGUAUAAGUAAAGGAUCCAUGGAUAAAGAUAGAAAAGUCUAGUUCGAAUCGUAACUAAAUCUUCAAUUUUGGUUUUUUAUAGGUUAGAUUGAAGCAAAAUAGCUAUUAAAUGAUCACUCUAGUUUACUAGAGACAUCAACGUAUUCUAUUUUUUUAGUUUAGCUCGGGGGAAACAAAAAACUUUUCCUAAGGAUUCUUUCAAAUAGAAAUAGAGAACGAAGUAACUAGAAAGAUUGGUAUUGUUAUAAUCCACUCUUCUAGAGGGAUCAUCUAGAAAGCGGAUUGUUUUGAAUUCAUUCAGACAAAAAAGCUGACAUAGAUGUUAUGGGUCGACUUUUGUUAUUUUGCUCCCGGCUUCUCUCUGGGAAUAUAGCAAACUUCCAUAAAGGAGCCGAAUGACCCCAAGUUUCAUGUUCGGUUUUGAAUUAGCGGCGUUAAAAAGUAUGAAUCGACGUCUACUAUAACCCCUAGCCUUCCAAGCUAACGAUGCGGGUUCGAUUCCCGCUACCCGCUCCAUAUGAUAAUUUAUCAGUUAGUAUAUCAACUCGGCGAUGCAUUAAGUAAAGUUUACUUAAUGCAUCGCCAAGUUGAAUAUGAAAGUCCUGAAAUUAUAUCACAUAUUCUUUAUGCUUUCCGAAGAAGAGAUAGGAAAGAAAAUUCGAAAAAAAAAAUAAAUAAUAAAUAAAAAAAAAAAUUAGGAAUGGGAAUGAAAGGCGUCCAUUGUCUAAUGGAUAGGACAGAGGUCUUCUAAACCUUUGGUAUAGGUUCAAAUCCUAUUGGACGCAAUUUUUUGCAUUUCCCAUAUUCUAUUACAUAAUAAUAUAUUCUUAUUCGAUUAUUAUUAUUAAUAAUAAAUUAAUAAUUAUUAUAUUAAUAAAUUUUUAAAUUUUGAUUUGAAAUAAUAAAUAGAGUAAUAUAUUGAAUAAUUAAUAAUUAUUCAAAUAUUUUAUUACUUAUAUAUAUUUAUAUAUUAUUUUUUUUUUUUAUUAUUAAGUAUUAUAAAGUAAGAAUAAGAGUGGUUUUUUAUUUAGAAUUGUUCCUGAAGUAGAAAACGUUCCUUUUGUUCCUGAAUAGCUUCUUGCAAAAGGGCUUCUGCUUCUUCGGUGAAUAUCUUGGUAGAAGAUAUUAUUUCUUGGAACUGAGGUUUAUUCGUUUUUAAGUAAGUACGUAACUCAACGAGAAAUUUUCUUACUUGACCAAUUUCUAAUGAAUCAAGAUAACCAUUCGUUCCUGUAUAAAUAGUCAUUAUCUGUUCUUCCACCGUGAGAGGGGCUGCUUGGGCCUGUUUGAGCAACUCACGUAAGCGUUGACCCCUUGCAAUUGGUUCUGAGUAGCUUUAUCGAGAUCAGAAGCAAUUGUGCAAAGGCUUCUAAUUCUGCGAAUUGUGCCAAUUCCAAUUUUAAUUUGCCGGCUACUUGUUUCAUAGCUUUAAUUUGAGCUGCGGAUCCUACUCGAGAGACGGAAAUACCCACAUUAAUAGCGGGUCUGAUUCCAGCAUUGAAUAAAUCCGCGGAUAAGAUAUUUGCCGUCUGUAAUGGAAAUUACAUUAGUAGGAAUAUAAGCCGAAACAUCUCCCGACUGGGUCUCAACUAUUGGUAAAGCGGUCAUACUUCCUUCGCCUAACUGCGAACCUAAUUUCGCGGCUCUUUCCAAAAGUCGUGAAUGCAAAUAAAAAACAUCUCCGGGAUAAGCUUCGCGACCCGGUGGUCUUCGUAAUAGAAGAGACAUUUGUCGAUAAGCCUGUGCUUGUUUGGAGGGAUCAUCAUAAAUGAUUAAAGUGUGUCGUUCACGGUACAUAAAUAUUCAGCUAGAGCUGCGCCGUAUAAGGAGCGAGGUAUUGUAACGUAGCGGGGAAUCCGCCGUUUCGGCUACCACAAUAGUGUAGUCCAUUGCCCCCCUCUCCUGGAAAGUAUUCACUACUGAGCCACAGAAGAUGCUUUUUGACCAAUAGCUACAUAAACACAUAUUACAUUUUGCCCUUGUUGGUUGAGAUCGUAUCCGUGGCUACUGCCGUUUUUACCGGUCUGUCUGUCCCAAUAAUUAAUUCUCGCUGACCGCGUCCGAUAGGGAUCAUCGAAUCAAUAGCAAUAAGUCUGUUUGAAGAGGUCAUAUACGGAACGUCUCGAAAUAAUACCCGGAGCAGGGGAUUCAAUUAAUCGAGAUUCAGAAGCUGAAAUUUCACCUCGACAUCAAUAGGUUUAGCCAGGGCAUUUAUACACGACCUAAAUAAGCCUCGCUUACUGGUAUCUGAGCAAUUUUUCCGGUUGCUUUUACAGAACUUCCUUCUUGUAUCAUUAAACCGUCACCAUUAAAACAACACCACAUUAGUUGAUUCCAAUUCAGAGCAAUGCCUAUUGUACCCUCUUCAAAUUCUACUAAUUCACCUGCCAUUACUUCAUCAAGACCAUAAAUACGGGCGAUGCCGUCGCCUACUUGAAGUACGGUCCCAAUAUUUACAUCUUUACUUCUCUAUUAUAUUGCUCAAUACGUUCGCGGAUAAUAUUACUAAUUUCGUCGGCUUUAAUUGUUGUCAUAAGUAUUUCUUAAUUCUUUUUUUUCUUAAAAAAAAAAAAAAAAAUAAUGUGCCUACAGUAAAAGGACUAAUCAGUUAUUUCUUUCAUCGCUCCAAACAUGCCAAUAUUGGCACUAAUGGUACGUAAAUGUAACUCCUUGUUCAAACAACUAUUCAGAGUUCCGAGCGCUCCUUGUAAAGCUUGUUGGAAAACCGUUGUCGGACUUGAUUAAUUGCUCUUUGUUGUUCAAAAUGAAUGGUUUCAUUUUUGUAAUUUUCUAAUUGAUCCAAAGUCUUAUAAGUUGAAUUAAUCAAAUUGAAUUUUUCUCGUUCUAUCUCAGAGUAUCCAUUCACUCGAAACUGAUCUGCUUCUAUUUCUAUUUUUCGUAACCGGCCGGGCUUUUUCCAGCCGUUCAAUGGCCCCUCUCUGCAGUUCUUCUGAAUUUCGAUACUAUUCAAUCUCAGUUUGCGAUUAUCUAAUAAAUCACUUAAUGAAGUAGAUUAUCUUUCCAUUCAUCUCAAAACUUCGAUGAUCCCUUCCGAACCAAACAUGAAUUUUUCGAUUCAUUUGGCUCUCCCACUCAAUUACGUCAACUACUUAUGUAUGGGGGGGUUCCCAUAUCUUUUUUUAAUGUAAUGAGCUAUCCUCUCCUCUCUUCUCUAUUCAUAUUCCAAAUGAAUCUUGCGACUGAUCCUAAUCCAAGAACAGAAUAUUCGGAGGACUCUUCUGACCAAAUCAAAUAUAUAAUUGUCAGCAAAGUUGUUUCUUUUUUUCUUCAAAUCCAAAGAAUUCUUCUUACUUUAUAUGGAGGUCAUCGAUUCAGCAUAAAUAAGGGUUGGUUGAAAUACCUAUUUUUCCAAUAUUUUCCAAUCAAAUUUCCAUACAAUAAAGGCUCAAAUCUUUUUAUCAACUGAGUGUUUUAUAUCGAAAAAAAAAAGUCCAUAAUUAUUAUUAAUUAUUCAUUUAUUAAUUAUUCAUUUUGAAAACAUUUCUAUUCUAUAGUAAACAUAGUAGUAGAAAGAGUACCGUGCUGUGUCUGGACUUCAAACUUUAGCUUUAACCAUGUUAUGGUCCACAUUAUUGGUUUGGUUAUAGAGAUCAAAAUAGAUUUACCAACAAUCACGAAUGCUAUGGUUCUUAAAUAUGAUUUGAAAUUUAUUCAGAAGUAAUUCGCGGAAUCAUGCACCCUUUUCCUUUGGUCCUAGUUAUAACGAAAAAAGUGCAGCUGGUUGGGUCCAGCCUAUUCUUGAAAUAACAACUCGCACACACUCCUUUCCAAAAAGAUCAAUACACCAAGCACUACACUUAGAUUUAUUGGAUUUGUUGCUAAAUAUCGGUAUUAAGCCCGAAACUCCGGCGAAUGGCCAGUUAACCAAAGAACGAAAGAAUCGGUUACAUUUUUCAUAUGAUCUCUCUUUUAGAUAGACUAAAAAAAAAAAAGAACGCAGUUCUUUUUUUUUUUCUACGUAAUAUAUAUUUAUUUAAUUUAUUUGUUUUUUUAGUAAUUUACUAUUUCGAAACAGGGUCAAAAAUUCGAUUUCGAAAUCCUUUCUUUUGAAUUGGCAAUUGGGGAUUCCGAUAAGAGGGAUACUUAUUAGUAUUAGGGGCCGGGACUCUGUCCAUUGCAAAACCUCGUUUGUUGCAGCAUCACUUAAAAAGAGGGUUUCCUUUAGACUAAGAAAGGGAAAGAAAAGGCGAACUGGUAUGCCUAUCCUAAUUCCCAUCCUCAAUCAGUCCUUCCAAUUGGAGGAGUUAAUCUUGAUAGAAUUCAAAAAAGCAGAACACGGAUAUAAUAAAUAGAGAAAAAAAAUAAGUAAAUUGCCCUUCCUAUUUCUAGGAUUAAACAAAGGAUUCGCAAUAAAAGUGCUAAUGCUACAACCAGCCCAUAAAUUGUUAAAGCUUCCAUAAAAGCAGACUAAGCAAUAAAGUACUCGUAUUUUUCCCUCUGCUCGGGCUGUCUCGCGAUCCCUUUACUGCCUGGCCGCAGCGUACCUUGACCACUCCAGGUCCAAUAGAAGCAAGCCAACAGCCAACCAGCAGCAAUAACGGAAGCGGCAGAAUCAGUGGAUUCAUGAUAAGUCCUCGCACUAAAAUAAAGAAAAACUAAGAAAUCGUUAAUGAUACAAUCGUCAAUAAAUUAUGACUUAAUUAUUCGUCACUAGGAUUCGCCCAGCCGAAGUAACUAAGAACUCCCAAUUGGCGUAAUAAUAUAUUAUUAUUGAACCAUCAAAACUUUUUAGAUAUCUUUUUUAGUUUCGAUCCACGGCACAACCAGGAUUUUUGUAAAUCCAUACGACUUUUGUUCUUCCAUUUUUUUUUCGGAACCCUUUUUGAAUUUCUUCGUUCGUUUUCUUUCUUUCAUCUCUUUAUUUUUAUUGAUUCAAUUCCAGUCAAGCAUCAAGCAAGACGAAAUCGAACAUUUCUAAUUUCUAUUAGAUCCUAUCGAAUUCACAAUAAUCACAAGAGUAGGGUGGAUUAGAUAUAUCUUUAGUUCAUAUAUAACUAGCAAUAUCUAAUAUCCCAUACAUGUUUUCUUACAGAACGUAACAACUAUUAAUAUCUUAGACUCCAGUAUUCGUAUCUUAAGUCAUGUAUUCUCGAACCCUUUUAAAACUCAAAAUACACAAGAGUUGGCAUUUGAUUCCAUAUACCUAAUUAUGUACCCUCGCCGAAUCACCCGUUUUUUUAUAAUCUCUUUUUUUUUUUUCUAUUCCUUUUCGUUAUCAUUAUCACCAGGCUACAUCGAAUAGACGAAUUCAUUGGGGCGAUCAUUGCAUAGAAUAAUAUCAGUAUUUGAUUGAGGUCGGCAUGCAUUUAUUAUAUUAAUAUUCUCUUUUGGUCAUCGUUGAAUUGAAGAUUGACUAAGCAACUAAAGGGGAAUUAUUUUAUAAAGCAUCUUUCUUUUCUUUUUUUUUAAUCACCGCCUGUGAUACUAUAAGAUUUUUAUUCAAUUAUCACUCUUGGUAUUUGCUAUUCGAAUUGAUGAACAAAAAUGAACAAAACAAUAUAAAGAAUAUUAUUGGCGGGGAGGGGGGGAUGAUAUAAUAAGCCAAGAGGAUUUGAGGAAAAGAUCUUUAGAUCUCUUUCCUACAAUUCCCAAUAUCGUAAUUUUUUUUCUACGACUCUUGAUCGUAUAUGCGGUAUUUGUAGAUUUAUGUUUGGAUAUGUAUUUUUCCUAAGUAGAAGUAUAAGUAGAUUAUCUUGAGUUACGAUCCAUUGCCUUUGUUCUAAGCUACAAAAAAGACUAUUUCGAAACGAGUCCAUGAUGUCCUCCAUAGAUUCGCCUAUAUAAGCCGCGCUAAAGUUGCAAUAAGAGCUUGAAUACCGCUUGUAAAUAAUCCAAGGAACAUGACGGGUAUAGGACACUAAAGGUACUAAAGAACAGAACAAACAACUACUAAUUCAUCGGCUAAUUAUUCCCAAAAGUCGAAAACUAAGUGAUAGAGGUUUUGUGAAUCUUCUAAAUGUUAAUGGGUAAAAGAAUUGGUCGGUUGAAUGUAUUUACUGAAAUAGCUAUCCCUUUUUGAAAGACCCGCAUAGAAGUAUGCUAUUGACGUGAGCAAGCUAAGCAACGUAGUAUUUAUAUCAUUCGUGGGUGCGGCUAAUCCCAUGAGGUAACUCUAUGAUUUUCCAAGGUAAAGAGCACUGACAAUUAGAAACAAAUAAAAAGAAACAGAGUUCCAUAAAGGAACCAUGGGCAUAUUCUUCUCCAUCUGAGUUUUGCUCACGUCUUCGAUGAUUCAAGGACAUAUUCGAAGAAUUUUGAGUGGCAGUCGGAACGGUUUGUGGAUUCCGAACGGCUAUAAAGGCUGAACCUAAUAAGAUAGCAUUACAACCAAGAAGUAAUAAGUACUUGGGCAUGGACUGGAACCACCUAUUUGCCAAUAGAAAUGUUGGCCUACUUCCACACGGAUAUUCGUAUAACCCCUUAGUGUAUUCAUGGACAUGAUAGAAAUUCAUAUUGCCCUCUGACCGAAAUAGAAAUUUAAAAAGAAUUAUUUUGAUUCAACCAUCUUCUUUUCGACUUGUCUACUUGAAUUGUAUAUUUUGAAUAUCUGCUAAUUGCAUAUAUCACCAGGUUUGUCUCUUUUCUUUUGUGCAAUUCAGGAAUAGUACCAAUCAUAAUCUAUGGAGUUACCAAAUAAUUUAUUUAUCUUAUUAUUAAUCAAGGAUUUCGUAUAUAGCUAGAGCGACCCUCACAAAUUGCGAUACUAAUUUGUUAGAAUUAAUCGGAUUGAGGCUAUAGCGUCAUCGUUUGCUGGAAUCGAAAUAUCUGCGAGAUCGGGGUCACAAUUUGUAUCGAUUAAACAAAUUGUUGGAAUUCCCAAGUGAUACAUUCUCGAAGAGCCGUAUAUUCUUCUUGCUGAUCAACGACGAUUACAAUAUCGGGUACCCUCGUCAUAUAUUUAAUCCCGCCCAGAUACGUUUGCAGACGCGAUAUUGUCUCUUCAAAAUAGCGGCAUCCCUUUUGGAAGACUGUCGAGUCUCCCCUUUUUGUUCCGUUUCAAUCCUGAACUUGUGAAGUCGCGUUUCUGUAGUGGACCAAUUGGUUAACAUACCGCGAGCAUUUUUGUUAACAUAAUGGCACCGAGCCCUUAUUGCAGCUCGCGCGACUAAUCAGCUGCUUUAUUUUUAGUACCAACAUUAAGAAUUGUUUUCCCUACUUGCUGCAUCAAAAACUAAUCACAAGCUUCUGAUAAAACCGAGCAGUUCGAGUCAGAUUUGUAUAUGAAUACCUUUAUGUUUUGCAGAUAUUAAGGUGCAUUCUAGGAUUCCAUUUCGAGUACCAUGACAAAAUGAUUCUGCUUCUAUCUCUUCAAAUGGAUGUUCCAAUACCUUCUUGCCAUUUCUCCCCACUUCUCUUUUUUUUUAAGAGACGAGGCGCCCUGAAAUAAUAAUUGUUCGAGGGAACCUUCUCUUCUACCAGGAGUGACCAUUGAUACACGACCAGGCCAUUCAUUACUUUCUAUUCAUUAUUAUCUUCGUUCUAUUCAUUAUUAUCUUUCUUUUCGUACAUUAAAAAAUCAAUGAUCACAAAUAGUUAAAGAAUUCGCUCCUAGGACUCAUUAAACCCUCUAAGCAAUUGUGCUCUGAUGUAUCAUGGAAGUCGUUGAAAUGCACGAGUCAAAUAAUUCUCUGUGGUGUAAGAAAAUAUCUCUCAUUUCCCCCCGAAUAAAUUCCCUUUUUGUCUUUCCAAAGAAUGUUGUUAUGCUGCUUGAACAGUGGAUAAUCCUUUGAAUCCGGUACCGACUGGUAUUAUCCCCCCGAAAACGUUUUCUUUCAGGCUUUCAACCAAUCGAUACGACUCGGAGAGCAGCUUUUGCUAAACUCGCGUGGUUUCUUGAAAACUUGCUUCGGAUAUAAACUUUGAGUAUUCAGAGACGCUCUCGUUUUCCCAAUAGAUAGCUCGAUAACAGAUCACUUCUUCAAAGCGCGCCCAUUCGUUCCGCUCGUAACAAUCCAAUCAGUUCGCGGGUAAAAAAUAUUAGACAUUCCAUCUUCGGAAACUAAACUUUUGAUGUUAUUUGACGUACAAUAAUUUCUAUAUGCCUAUUAUGGAUCUGCCCCCCUGCGAUCGAUAAACCUUUUGGAUCUUAUUAACCAAGAGAUACGACUUUGCACUAUAGUUAGCUCAGCCAAUCAAGAAUCCCAGGGAAUCCAGAUUCUUGUUAUACUCGCGUUCAACCUCAACUCUUUUUCUAGGUUCAUCGAUAUUGAAUCAAGCGAACGCACUUCUAACACUGUUCUACUUUUGGAAGACCUGCGUUAUAUCACCAGAUCUCGAUUUUUCAUAUAUAAAUGUAACUAAUGUAUCCCCUUCGUAAAGGAUUGCUCCAUAAUGCCAUGAACAGUUGCUCAGGAGUAGCCAAAUAGGCUUAGCUGAUCGUAUUACUACAGAGUUAACUUGAACAAUUAAACUUGACCGGAUUUUAGGUAUGGUCCCUUUUGGUUAUACGUACUUUUCACAAGAAACUGCCAAGACUAUUAUCGGGGACAUUUCUCACAAUAUUAGGCUGGAGAAAAUACCAUUCAAUUAAUGGAUUCAAGGAUCUUACUAUCUGUAUCAGGAUUAUAAUUUCCCGGUUUCGUCCAUUAUAUAUUUAAGUAUUGAAAAGGCUGUUUUAAUUGUCAAGUUUCAAAUAUUUAGUUACCGAGAUAUGAUUAUGAGUUAUUAAAUAGUAAAAUGAAUAAAAUUCGCAUUUGAGGAUGUUCCUAAGGGUCCAACGAAGUCUUAUUGGAGUUAGCGAAUCUUUUUGAUUGGAAUUGAUUGUUUUAUCACUUGUGAUAUUUACAUCGUUCAAUGGACCCAUUCGAAAAUAUUAGAUGAUGAUAAUUAUCAAACUUGGCAUUCCUUAUUUUUAUUCAACAACGUACGAAUAGUUCCUUGAUUUUGUCUAAGCGAUUGUUCACCCCUGCCUUGCCAAACACGGAAUAAACGGAUUGCUAUUGGUGCGAGCUGAACAUUAUCAGAAUUAAUCCUGAACCGACGGAUGAUCCUUUUUCUGAGAUACGAAUAUUGGAUUUCACUAAGUUGUUCUUAGGAAAUUUCGAAUCAGACCAUUUGUACGUACUUCACAAAGGAAGCACAACUCUUCGACGGAAGAACUUUUGUGUCUUGGUCCCAAUUCAACACUAAACACGUCCGAACUAAUUGAAGACUUGUAUCGAAAUUUCCCCGCGGCUUUGCCCUUCCAUAAAGGAAUAAUUGACACUCGAAAUUGCAUAUUAUCCUUUUCCGCAGCGGUCCUGGGAAGGUGUUGCUAAUUUAUACCGUUCGCUAUUUCAUAUGUGAUACGGGUCGAACCAAACAAGAUUUUUCUUUGUAGGUGUGAUCCGUUGACAUAGAUCCACUUUUUCAAUUUUUUUGUUCCUUAGUGGUUCCUUAAGUUUUGUUUUUUCACUUUCUGGCGGUAUCAGGAUGCCACUGUGUCGGGAUAUCUUAUCUAUCUCUCCGGGAAAUGGAUAUCUCCCGAAAUAUUUUUAGUUCACCCUCCUUUUUUCUUCCAUUCGGACAUCCGCCCACCCGCUUCGUAUAUUUAAAGUGUUUGUGUGUCUACUCCAAUGAUACUAUUAUUCCGUACCAUUAGGUAAGAGAUUCGGGAAAUAUGCACUUCUCCGGAAUGAAAAAAGGCGAUCUAUUUUCAUUUGUAUUUUUGGCUUAUUUUUUGAGUCCUCGAUACUCAUCAAGUCUCUUUUUUACGAUUGAAUGCGCCCGAGUCCCCAUUUUGUAAUUCGGAACUCUUUUUCUUGUAUCGGAGUCGUCGAAUAGCAGAAUACUUUUCUACGGAAUACCUUACGGGUAUUUCAUCGAGAUACUGAUGGGCAUUAGCUCUUUCUCUUGCUCUUGAUCGAGUGGAAUGGAUAAGAAUCAUUUCUUUGCUUUUUGCAUAAUCCGAAUUUGCGUGGAGAUUGCAGGAUGGAUGAGUUACAUGACCAGUAUUAUGUUCUAUUAAUCCGAAUAUCGACAUCUCAGAAUUCGACCUUUUUUUUUGCAGAAUCAGAACUAAAAUUUGUGUCCGUUUGAUCAUUAUUCACUGAGAGCGAGAGGCUAGAAUCUCUCUUCGUUCGACAGAAAGGAAUGAAUAUUCAUUUGAUCUUGAUCUUGUGGAGUGAAAAGAACUACACUAGAUCUGCGUGACCCCCGAAAUAUCCAUAAAUGGCUUGUUUUUGGCAAGAGGUGGACAUUAUAUGUAAUUCGGGUGCAUGGUACAUCAGUACUCCAGUGCUUUCUCCUCUGAAUCGAAUAAAUAUGUUUUCGAACCCUCUCUUUAAAUUCAAGUGUUGCUCCCGCCCGAAUCUCAGCAUCACUUGUUCUGAUUCGAAUAUUGAUCAUUUUGAACUAAAGAAACUUUUUUGUGGAUGUCACAUUGUGCAUAUAUCUUCACCUCAUAAUUACUCCAAUCUAUAGAAUAGAAGCGGAUGCCGUGAGUGUGCGGUGGGGUGAACAUCUCAUUGAUUUUGAUUUUACCUUGAGGGGCUCGUACUGUUCUGCAGUGCCCCCGUAAUACGCCGCCGGUAUGAAGUUCUUAUGUUAGUUGAGUCCUGGUUCUCAAUAGAUUGACCCGCAUAUACUACGGCUUCCCCAAUUCACCAGGUCACAUGAGUCGGACUCGACUACAUAAUCGACAUCCGAUGUACUCCUACAAGUAAAGGGGGUUCGAUAGAUAUUGCUUGUGUUCGAAGGGUUAUGAGUCGAUUGACAGUCCAAUCCAUAUCUUGAUUUCUAAUGGCAAUGGAUCGUGGCCCUUAUAUAUUCGUCGCUAUCACGACAAUUAUGUUUGGCUAAACCCUUUCCGAAUCUCCUAUUUUGUUUUGGGACUCACAGAAUUCCUCGGACAGUGCCAAUCUGUUCUACGUACAAUAUGUGUUGAUACUUCAACAAGUCUGCGCGUAGAUAUCCGCAUUGAUGUUCGGCAGCCGGUAUCGACACCCCUUGCGGGCUCAUAGCAGAUGAUAUAUUCUGUUAAAGAGCCUUCGCGUAAUUACUUUGAAUGGGUAAUCAUCAUUUGCCUUGGGGAUCAGACAUUAAUCCUCUCAUACACCAUUGGUGUACUUGAGAUGCAUUUCUCUAGCCCCGAAAGACUUAUAUGGACUGGAUUAAAGGCUCAGUCAUCCUAAAUUAGGAUUCUUUCUUGUCGCAUAUUCAUUUGUGCUUACUAUCUCAAUGGAUUGUCGUAGUUUUUCUAUCGCGUGUACAUUCCAUAUGUAGUGUUUUUCCAAAUAAACUUUGUUGUUCGCUCUUGGACUAGCUCGCUUAGAAGGUAUCGUUAAAGUCAUCAUGCCUAAUGAAAUAGAUGUGCAGUGGCUUGCUGGACCCAGGGUCUUUACUUGAUCGGAUGUGGGAUGUAUAUGCAUUCCGAAGUGAUCUAUUAACUGCUAUAAGUCGUUUAUGGCGUUCCAUCUAUCAUUUUAUUGUGAAAGCGACUCCCGUUCUGCAUAAGUACCUCCGUAUUCGCUGAGUAGGAUUCGCCAAUGGAUUUUAGUCAAUGAGUGGAAACUUCCUUUUCUCGAUCUUGAUUCGCGUAGAAAGGUCAGCAAUGGUGGUCAUACUUGAACCGGAAGGCCCAAGGUCGUAGAUUACUUAGUUUAGACACAGAUGAUUAGGUACCAUAUGAGCAGCCGGCAAACUUGUUGCUUUUCGAUUUCUCGAUAAGAGAAAUAUGGCCACGGUGGUUCGAUGUAUAUAGAAGAAUUUCUUUUUUUUACCUUCGUCUAUUAGAUAAUGCCCAUAUUCAUGGAAGGUACCAAGAUUCAUAGUGACUUCGAUGGGAGUUCCUUGAAGCAUAAGGCGUUGAUCUAUCGCCCCGAAGCACAACGGACUAUCUAAAUUGAUUUCUUUUCUGCGUAAGCUCAAUUGCUCAUAGGAUUACAAAAGGGGUUCUUUCGUAUACGUAUGCUAUUAUCGUCAUUCUUUCAUCUGGAUAUUUCUUCGAUUCAUUAUUUAUACUUUGCACAAUACCUCGACGAUUCCGCUCGUUAAUAAUAGAGCCUAUAAGAUAUCUUGAGUCCGGUAUGGAAAUGGGAUCUCCAAUAGUAGGGACAAGAUAUAUGAGAAAAAUAGUACGAGCUUGCUUGAGCUUAAGUAAGGGUCAUGAACAGCAUUUGAUCCCCAUCAAAGUCUGCGUUGAUCUUUACAACUAAUGGAUGUAACAUAGCGGCUUCCACUAAAUGGGCUGGAUGCUGUACGCCCAUCUAUGCAGAGUAGGCGCUCUAUUCGCAUACUGGAUGUCCUGCUAAUUCUGCAGUAUUUCCAGAUAUCGGCCUUUUUCGAUUUUACUUUGCAAUCCUAUGUUCGAGCAGUGUUGUCUAAUUGCCACAAAUUACAAAAGUCUGGAAAAGCUCUAUUGCGAUUUCGCGAGGCAAUCCACAUUGAUGUAAUGAAAGUGAGGGCCCACAACAAUGACAGACCGCCCCGAAUAAUCGACCCGUUUGCCAAGCAGAGUCUCACGAAAUCUUCCCUCUUUUCCUUCAAUUACAUCUGAAAACGACUUAUAAAUCUUAUUAUGACCAUCCCUCAUUGGCUGUCCACGGAUUCCAUUAUCAAGAAGCGUAUCCACGGCUUCUUGUACCAAUUUCUCCUGACACAUUACCAAUUCCCCUGGCGUAGAUCUACUUGUUGUUAAUAGGUCGAUAAGAGUAUUGUUCCGAUAGAUAACUCUUCUAUAGAGUUCAUUAAUAUCUGAACUCAUUAGUUUACCUCCAUCUAUUUGAAUGAUAGGCCUCAACUCGGGAGGAAGAACAGGUAAUAGACAUAAAACCAUCCACUCUGGUUCUAUAUUUGUUCGAAGAAAAUGCUUAGCUAAUUCCAUGCGUCUAACCAAAAAAUCCCUUCUUCGUCCAAUUUUUCGAUCUUCCCAGUCAUUACCGGCGGGCCCUUCUUCCCUAAUUCUUUCCAUUCUAACAAGGAAUUAUCUAGAAUAAUUCGCAAAUCUAGAUCGGCUAAUUGUUCCCGGAUAGCAACUGCUCCAGUAGAAAUUUCUCGGUUACGAAAUUUAUCGAACCUUGGGUAGUAAAAAAAAGUGGGAUGCUGUAUUUCCAGGAUUGUAUUUCAUAUUCGAAUGAACCGCGUAAUCGUAAAAAGUCGGUUUUUUCGCUAUAGGCCUAGCAAAAGAAAAAUUGGGAUAGGACCCUAUCCUAUGGGAUCUCCCCCCCAUCAAAAUCGGACAUGAGCGUUUCUUCUCAUCCGGCUCAAGUAGUUACGCCAAAUAAGGAUAAAGAAAGGGAUUCUCGCUUUCAAAUUCUAUAAAAACCCCAUACCCAAAACAACUACUCCUUACUCAAGUUCCCAGUAAAGACCAAGCAACAUUUCAUUGAUUCAUUCUUCUUUUCCUUUUAUUGAGAUUUUCGAAAUUCUUUAUUCAAUUAUAAAUUACGAAACUGAAAUGUGAAAUUCUUGAGUAGUCUACUUCCCCCGAAUGACAAAUCCCCUUACCUUAAAUUAAAUAAAUUAAAGGAAAGAAGUGCCUUGGAAUUCAUAAGGGAUUUUUUUGUCUAUGUAUCGUUCCUUUCGAUCUUUUAGGUCCUGCUUCACCUCGACGGUUAUGCCACGAUAUACUUAAAGCCUAUAUGCGAUGUAUAGACUCCCCCAACCAUGACAUAUUUGCUUACUUGAGGAACAGAAUUUCAUUUUUUUUUUUCACGAGGUACAACUAGAAAUUCUUAUUUAUUUUUUACUGAAUCGACCAUAGACCAAUUCCCCUUUUUCGUUUUUGGGGGGAGUAUUGAAUACACCCAUCGGUCUGAGCUUCAUGUGACUCCUCCAAAGAGACAUGUCAGGUUCAGGGCAUCCCAAUUCGAUUGCCUGGGAUGACAGUUUCAUAUUUCGAAUCUGUAAAAUCAAAAUUUCGAUCAAAUCACACAUCGCAAUAUACUAGGCCUUCUAAUUCUUUAAGAGGUUUAUCUAAAAGAUUCGCGAUAUAACUAGGAAGACGUUUCAAAUACCACACGUGGGUUACUGGGCAUCCCAGUUUUAUGUAUCCCAUUUGAUAUCUUCGUAUCCGAGAAUCAACAAAUUCAACCCCACAUUGUUCACAAAAUUGCGGGUCUUCUUUUUCAUCUCCGAUUAUUCGAUAAUUUCCACAAGCACAAAUUCCACUUUUAAUAGGCCCAAAAAUUCUUUCACAAAAUAAUCCAUCUUUUUCCGGUUUAUUGGUUUUGUAAUGAAAAGUAUAGGGUUUUUGUCACUUCUCCAAUUAUCUCUCCAUUAGGUUAGGAUUUUAUUGGCCCAAGCGCGUAUUUGUUGAGGAGAAACUGAUCCNNNNNUUAAUUAAUUAANNNNNUAUAAUUGGAGAUACCAUUGUUUCUGGUACAGAAGUUCCUAUAAAAAUGGGAAAUGCCCUACCUUUGAGUGCGGUUUGAACUAUUGAUUUACGUAAUUGGAAGUAACCAAUUAGGUUUACGACGAAACCUAGAAAUCGAUCACUGAUCCAAUUUGAGUACCUCUACAGGAUAGACCUCAACAGAAAACUGAAGAGUAACGGCAGCAAGUGAUUGAGUUCAGUAGUUCCUCAUAUAAAAUUAUUGACUCUAGAGAUAUAGUAAUAUGGAGAAGACUAAAUUGUUUCAAGCACCGACAGAACCAGAAGCGCCCCUUGUUUCAAAGAGAGGAGGACGGGUUAUUCACAUUUGAUUUGAUGGUCAGAGGCGAAUUGAAAGCUAAGCAGUGGUAAUAGUAAUUCGAAAGAUUUCCCGGGGAAAAAUAGAGAUGUCUCCUACGUUACCCAUAAUAUGUGGAAGUAUCGACGUAAUUUCAUAGAGUCAUUCGGUCUGAAUGCUACAUGAAGAACAUAAGCCAGAUGACGGAACGGGAAGACCUAGGAUGUAGAAGAUCAUAACAUGAGUGAUUCGGCAGAUUUGGAUUCCUAUAUAUCCACUCAUGUGGUACUUCAUUAUAUGAUAUUGUGGUACUUCAUUAUAUGAUAUAUAUAAGAUCCAUCUGUAUAGAUAUCAUCAUCUACAUCCAGAAAGCCGUAUGCUUUGGAAGAAGCUUGUACGGUUUGGGAAGGGGUUUUGAUUGAUCAAAAAGAUGAAUCUACUUCAACCGAUAUGCCUUAGGCACGGCCAUACAUAACAUAGAAAUCACACUUGGAAAGGGUGGACAAUUAGCUAGAGCAGCGGGUGCUGUAGCGAAACUGAUUGCAAAAGAGGGGAAAUCGGCCACAUUAAAAUUACCUUCUGGGGAGGUCCGUUUGAUAUCCAAAAACUGCUCAGCAACAGUCGGACAAGUGGGGAAUGUUGGGGCGAACCAGAAAAGUUUGGGUAGAGCCGGAUCUAAAUGUUGGCUAGGGAAGCGUCCUGUAGUAAGAGGAGUAGUUAUGAACCCUGUAGACCACCCCCAUGGGGGUGGUGAAGGAAGGGCUCCGAUUGGUAGAAAAAGACCCGCAACCCCUUGGGGUUAUCCUGCACUUGGAAGACGAAGUAGAAAAAGGAAUAAAUAUAGUGAUAAUUUGAUUCUUCGCCGCCGUACUAAAUAGGAGAGAAAAUCGAAUUUUUUUCUUCGUUUUUACAAUUUACAAAAAAAAAAGAAAAAAAUAGGAGUUAAUUAACUGUGACACGUUCACUAAAAAAAAAUCCUUUUGUAGCGAAUCAUUUAUUAAGAAAAAUCGAUAAGCUUAAUACAAAAGCGGAAAAAGAAAUAAUAAUAACUUGGUCCCGGGCAUCUACCAUUAUACCCACAAUGGUCGGCCAUACUAUUGCUAUCCAUAAUGGAAGGGAGCAUUUGCCUAUUUAUAUAACAGAUCGUAUGGUAGGACAUAAAUUGGGAGAAUUUGCGCCCACUAUCAAUUUCCGUGGACAUGCAAAAAAUGAUAAUAGAUCCCGUCGUUAAUAAAGUGAAUAUAGAUUCAUUGGUGAGAGGUGAACCUUAUGAUAAGGAUAAUAAAGAAGAAGGUAGAAGUAUCUGCUUUAGGUCAACAUAUAUGUAUGUCUGCUCACAAAGCCCGAAGGGUAAUUGAUCAGAUUCGUGGACGUUCUUACGAGGAAACCCUUAUGAUACUCGAACUCAUGCCUUAUCGAGCAUGUUAUCCCAUUUUAAAAUUGGUUUAUUCUGCAGCAGCAAAUGGUAUUCACAAUCUGGGUUUCAACGAAGGAAGUUUAUUCAUUAUUAAAGCCGAAUAGCUAUGGGUCCUACUGCGAAAAGAUUAAAACCUCGAGCCCGAGGGCGGAGUUAUCUGAUCAAAAAACCCACUUGUCAUAUAACUAUUGUUUUAAAAGAUAUAUCCUUAGCUGAAUAUGAAUAUAGAGACUAUCUCGAUCUCGAGUGCUCAAAAAACACUAGAUUAAUAAAUAAAAAAAAAAGAAAAAAAAAACUAUGACAUGUCAUGAUACAUAUAGGAAUGGGGGAUUAUGGGACAAAAAAUAAAUCCACUAGGUUUCCGGCUUGGUACAACACAAAGUCAUCAUUCUCUUUGGUUUGCAAAACCAAAAAACUAUUGCGAGGGUCUACAAGAAGAUCAAAAAAUACGAAACUUUAUUAAGAAUUAUAUAAAAAAAAAUAUCAGAAUAUCUUCCGGUGUUGAGGGAAUUGCACGGAUAGAGAUUCAAAAAAGAAUUGAUCUAAUUCAAGUUAUAAUCUAUAUAGGGUUCCCAAAAUUAUUACUAGAAAAUAGACCGCGAAGAAUUGAAGAAUUACAGAUGAAUGUACAAAAAGAACUUAAUUGUGUGAAUCGAAAAAUAAACAUUGCUAUUACACGAAUUACAAAUCCUUAUGGACACCCCAAUAUUCUUGCCGAAUUUAUAGCCGGACAAUUAAAAAAUAGAGUUUCUUUUCGAAAAGCAAUGAAAAAAGCUAUUGAAUUAACGGAACAGGCCGAUACAAAAGGAAUUCAAGUACAAAUUGCAGGGCGUCUUGACGGAAAAGAAAUUGCGCGCGCCGAAUGGAUCAGAGAAGGUAGAGUUCCUCUACAAACCAUUGGAGCUAAAAUUGAUUAUUGUUCCUAUACGGUUCGAACUAUCUACGGGGUAUUGGGAAUCAAAAUUUGGAUAUUUGUAGACGAAAAAAAAUAAGAGUUUACGGGUCUUUAGAGCCCCCCCAUUAAUGGAAAUAAACCAAACAAAGAACGAGCUCUUUUUAUCUUCAAUCAAAACAAAAAUGAGAAAUUCCGCAAUUCUAUAGGGUUGAAUAAAAAUUCGAUUGAUUUUUUUUUUUUUAUAUAAUUGCUAUGCUUAGUGUGCGACUCGUUGGUUUUUUUUAGGGCUAGGAUUCCAAAAAAUGGACCGUCCUGUAGUAUGAACUAAUAACUAUAGCACUAAUAACCAACUCAUUGCUUCGUAUUAUCUGAAUCCAAAGAACCAGUCAAGAUAUAAUAUAGUGGUCAUAUCGUUGUAGCAACUGAAAUUUGCAUAACAUAAAAACCCAAUCUGAUUGUAGGUUGUGAAGUUCGAAGUUGUGAAAGAAAAUCGAAAAGCAUGCGGAUAAAUGGAAGGAUGAGAGAAAGAGAGAAAGAAAAUAUCAAUGAUAUAAGAUUCCAAUAUGUAAGGUCUGUAAGUCAUCUCAUAAAAAACAGUGUAAUAUAGCAUCAAUAAUGAUUCAUCCCUAACUAGAUGAAUCCGCUCAUAGAACAAAAAAAAUCAAGAGCCCCGAGCCAAUAAAAACUGAGAAAAUUGACUUAAGAAAAAAUUUCAUUAAGGGCUCCGUUGGAGAAUUCAGACCUAACCAUUAAUCGAGAAGCAAUGGGAACGACGGAACCCGUGAAUAAAGAAAAAGAAGAUUCUAUUGGAAAUGAAUCUUAAUGAUUUAUUGGGUGGGAUGGCGAAACGAACCCAGGAACUAAACUAUUCUUUUAUUCGUAGAGGUCAUGAACUAACCCUACAACUGAAAUAGAUAUUGAAAGAGUAAAUAUUCGCCCGCGAAAGGUUUAUUUUUUGAUUUUAUUGGAUUGAUUCAUUUUGCUCGAUCCGAUAUGGUAAAGGGCAAAACAAAAUAAAGAUUUGUUAUAACGAUAAAAAAAAAAAAAAGACAUUGAGAUUAUCUAUAAAUAGAACAUAAAUGUUUCAAUUCUAUAUCUAAACAUGAUAUACAAAUUUAGAAUAGAUUAAUUAGAUGAACUUUCAAAAAAUCCUAUGCUUCAGUAUAUUAUUCAUUAAAUUCCCCUAUAUCUUGAUAAAAUCGUUUUUAGUCCUUUCAUUCGCGAGGAGCUGGAUGAGAAGAAACUCUCAUGUCCAGUUCUGUAGUAGAGAUGGCAUUGAGAAAGAACCAUCAAUUAUAACCCCAAAAGAACAAGAUUCCGUAAACAACAUAGAGGAAGAAUGAAAGGGAUAUCUUAUCGAGGUAAUCAUAUUUGUUUCGGCAGAUAUGCUCUUCAAGCACUUGAACCCGCUUGGAUCACAUCUAGACAAAUCGAAGCGGGGCGCCGCGCAAUGACACGAAAUGUACGGCGCGGUGGAAAAAUAUGGGUACGUAUCUUUCCAGACAAACCCGUUACACUAAGACCCACGGAAACCCGUAUGGGGUCCGGUAAAGGAUCCCCGAAUAUUGGGUAGCCGUCGUUAAACCGGGUAGAAUACUUUAUGAAAUGAGUGGAGUAGCUGAAAAUAUAGCUCGAAAGGCUAUUUCAAUAGCGGCGUCCAAAAUGCCUAUAAGAACUCAAUUCAUUAUUUCGGGAUAGGAAUGUCGAAACAAAGGAAAUAAAUCUUGGGUAUAAAAAAUGCGGGUCUUCCCUUUUUUUUUUUACUUCGUCCUUUCAGUGCUUUACUUUAAAUUAAACAUUAAAAAAACGGACUCAAAAAACGAUAUGAUUCAACCUCAAACCCAUUUGAAUGUAGCAGACAAUAGCGGUGCCCGAGAAUUGAUGUGUAUUCGAAUCAUAGGAGCCAGUAAUCGUAGAUAUGCUCAUAUUGGUGACGUUAUUGUUGCUGUGAUCAAGGAAGCAGUACCCAAUACGCCUCUAGAAAGAUCAGAAGUGAUCAGAGCUGUAAUUGUACGUACUUGUAAAGAACUCAGACGUGAUAACGGUAUGAUAAUACGGUACGAUGACAAUGCUGCAGUUGUCAUUGAUCACGAAGGAAAUCCAAAGGGAACUCGAGUUUUUGGUGCGAUCGCCCGGGAAUUGAGACAGUUGAAUUUUACUAAAAUAGUUUCAUUAGCACCUGAAGUAUUAUAAGAGGGGACCGCGAUAUAGUGAUAGUAUGAAAAUAAAAUAGAUAAAUCAAAAUUUAGUAGAGUAUGUCUCACGCAUAUACUUUUAAUAAUUUUCAUAAAAAAAAGAACAUGUUGAUUAUAUCAAAAUUUGGAAGCAACAAAAUUUUCAGUUUAUCAUGGGCAAGGACACUAUUGCUGACAUAAUAACUUCUAUACGAAAUGCUGACAUGAAUAGAAAGGGAACGGUUCGAAUAGCAUCUACUAACAUCACCGAAAACGUUGUUAAAAUCCUUUUGCGAGAGGGUUUUAUCGAAAACGCAAGGAAACUCGUGGAAAACAAAAACAAAAAAGAGUUUUUGGUUUUAACCCUACGACAUCGAAGGAAUAGGAAAGGGCCGUAUAGACCCAUUUUAAAUUUAAAACGAAUCAGUCGACCCGGUCUACGAAUCUAUUUUAACUAUCGACGAAUUCCUAGAAUUUUAGAUGGGAUGGGGAUUGUAAUUCUCUCUACUUCUCGGGUAUAAUGACAGACCGAGCGGCUCGACUGGAAAGAAUCGGUGGAGAAAUUUUGUGUUAUAUAUGGUAAUUAUUCUGCUAUCCGAAUUGUAUUUGGAGCUUACUUUUAUGUUGUGAGAAAAAAAAAGGGAGGAUUCCUCGAGGUUUAAUUACCGAAUAACUUACCAAAGGUAUGCUCCGGGUUCUUUUAGAUAGUUUAGAGAGCGAAGUAAGAUUCUAGAUUAUGUUUCAGGAGGGAUGCGACCCGUUUUUCUACAUCUACUCCCGGUGGCUAGAGGCAAAAUUGAAGGAAGUCGUUAUGAUUCAGAUUCAACUGGAGGAUAUAAUAAUAAUAUAUAGACUACACAAAAGGAUUUGAGUGAUUAGGUGAUUUUUCAACAUUCCUUUCAGGGGGAUACAAAUCGCGGUUCAAAAAUUUCAAGAAACUUAUUUUCUUCCAACUUCCAAUAAGGAGAUUCGAAAUUCAUUUAAGGAAUAACAAUUAUGAAAAUAAGGGCUUCAGUUCGUAAAAUUUGUGAAAAAUGUCGACUGAUCCGCAGGAGGGGACGGAUUAUAGUAAUUUGUUCCAACCCGAGACAUAAACAAAGACAAGGAUAAUCUUUCGAAAAGUUUAGAAAGUAACCGAUGAACAAAUCAACAUAAAAGAUCGGUUUUGACAUGAAAUGGAUAUAUCCAUAUAUCUCUGACUUAUAUUUAUGAAAUGAUCAAAUAUGGCAAAAUCUCCACCACGAAGUGGUUCACGUAGGCCGGGACGGAUCGGUUCACGUAAAAGUGGACGUCGAAUACCAAAGGGCGUUAUUCAUGUUCAAGCAAGUUUCAACAACACCAUUGUGACUGUUACAGAUGUCCGGGGUCGGGUAAUUUCUUGGUCCUCGGCCGGUACUUGUGGAUUCAGGGGUACAAGAAGAGGUACGCCUUUUGCUGCUCAAACCGCAGCAGGAAAUGCUAUUCGAGCAGUAGCGGAUCAAGGUAUGCAACGAGCAGAAGUCAUGAUAAAGGGUCCUGGUCUCGGAAGAGAUGCGGCAUUACGAGCUAUUCGUAGAAGCGGUAUCCUUUUAAAUUUCGUACGGGAUGUAACCCCUAUGCCACACAAUGGUUGCAGACCCCCUAAAAAAAGACGGGUGUAGAAAUAAACAUUGAAGAGAUUUCAAGAGAAAUAAAUGACUCAAUGAUCUGACAAAUAAUAUUACUAUGGUUCGAGAGAAAGUAAAAGUAUCUACUCGGACACUACAGUGGAAGUGUGUUGAAUCAAGAGCAGACAGUAAGCGUCUUUAUUAUGGGCGCUUUAUUUUGUCUCCACUUAUGAAAGGUCAAGCCGACACAAUAGGCAUUGCGAUGCGAAGAGUUUUGCUUGGAGAAAUAGAAGGAACAUGUAUUACACGCGCAAAAUCUGAAAAAAUUCCACACGAAUAUUCUACCAUAGUGGGUAUUCAAGAAUCGGUACAUGAAAUUUUAAUGAAUUUGAAAGAUAUUGUAUUGAGAAGUAAUCUUUAUGGAACUUGUGACGCGCUUAUUUGUGUCAAAGGCCCGGGAUAUGUAACUGCUCAAGACAUCCUCUUGCCGCCUUCUGUGGAAAUCGUUGAUAAUACGCAGCACAUAGCUAGCCUAACAGAACCAAUUGAUUUGUCUAUUGGAUUACAAAUCGAGAGGAGUCGAGGAUAUAAUAUAAAAACGCCAAAUACCUUUCAAGACGGAAAUUGUUAUCCUAUCGAUGCUGUAUUCAUGCCUGUUCGAAAUGCGAAUCAUAGUAUUCAGUCUUAUGGGAAUGGCAAUGAAAAACAAGAGAUCCUUUUUCUAGAAAUAUGGACAAACGGAAGUUUAACUCCUAAAGAAGCACUUCAUGAAGCCUCCCGGAGUUUGAUUGAUUUAUUUAUUCCCUUUCUCCAGGCAGAAGACGAAAACUUACCUUUAGAGAACAAUCAAUACAAGGUUACUUUACCCUUUUUUACUUUUCAUGAUAGAUUGGCUAAACUAACGAAAAAGAAAAAAGAAAUCGCAUUGAAAUCGAUUUUUAUUGACCAAUCAGAAAUGUCUCCCAGGAUCUAUAAUUGUCUCAAAAAGUCCAAUAUACAUACAUUAUUCGACCUUUUGAAUACGCGUCAAGAAGACCUUAUGAAAAUUGAACACUUUCGCAUAGAGGAUGUAAAGCAGAUAAUGAGUAUUCUAGAAAAGAAAUAGAAAAGCAUUUCACAAUUGAUUUACCGAAAAAAAAAAAAACGAGAAAAUUGAAAUGGCUUUGCACCUUUAGACCCGUCUAUAUAUUCAGACCGGAAUUAAAUUGAAUAGAAGUAUCUAGGGAGAAUUCACUUUUACUUUGAAGUGACUACUCCCUAGAUACACACGUCAUGAUAUUUUACAAUUGAAUCAAUUUAAAAAAGACCUAAAGUUAGGGAUUUUUCAAUAGGUAAUGUUGCUCCAAUACCCAAGCACAAGGCCACUGCGGUCCCAAUCAAAAAGACGGUUGUCGCUACGGGACGGCGAAAUGGAUUUUGGAAUUUAUUAACAUUUUCCAAAAAAGGUACUGUUAAUAAUCCCGUAGGUACUGAAACCAUUAAAAGAACACCCAACAGCUUAUUGGGUACUGUACGAAGUAUUUGAAAUACGGGAAAGAAAUACCAUUCGGGUAAGAUUUCCAAAGGAGUUGCAAAUGGAUCCGCGGGUUCACCAAUCAUUGAUGGUUCUAGAACCGCUAAGCCUACGGUACAUGCAAUAGUACCUAGAAUUACUACUGGAAAAAUAUAUAAAAGAUCGUUGGGCCAUGCGGGUUCUCCAUAAUAAUUAUGACCCAUACCCUUAGCCAACUUAGCCCUUAAUACAGGAUCAUUCAAGUCAGGUUUUUUUGUUAUUGGGAUAGGCGAAUUCUUAUAGAUCCAUCCCCCAAAGAACCGGACAUGAUAAUUUUUCAUCAUCCGGCUCGAGCAAGAAUCAACCAAACUAAAAGGAUACAUAUAAAAAAAGAAAUAGAUAAAAAAAGAAAUAUAGAUUUUCGAAAAUCUAUAUUUUACGCAUAUCGGGAUGAUUCUAUAUGUAAAAUUACCGGAUUCCGUUUUACGAAGUUUCAACUAUCAAUUGCAAGGAAUUCGGUUCUUACAGGUGUAUGCUCCAUACCCAAGUAGGCUUACAAAAUUGAUCAUGAUCAAGAGCUUUCUGGGUCGUCUCAGCCCUUGUGAUUCACCCUUAUCCAAAAACAAAAAAAAAAAAGAUCGAGCUGAGAUUUUUCUUUUUCGCGUACAAAGGAUUUACUUGUUACUAAUAUAGUCUAGCCGCUGCUCUUCUUUAGACCCCUUGUUUCACUCCGAUAGUAUCAUAAAUCGGGAUCGGUGCAGAAGAAAUGAAUGCAUUUCCAUACUAUUAAGUAAGUAAUCUAGAAUCUAGCGAAAACAUAAUCUAGAUUAUGCCACAUCGCUUAUUCUACUGGAUCUUACGGAGCCUGCUCAUGCGCGGCAUGCUUGGGGCUGAUCAUAGAAAAGAUUCUUUUCAAUCGAACCAACCUAUCCUCUCUAUGGGGUGCCGGUUGGAACAAAGACACAUUUGGUCGCGAAUUCCAAUGUAGCAGAUUAAAGACAUAUUUCUGCACGGCCCAAUCAAUAGUUCAAGUCACACACUCCCAUAAUCCAUUUUCUCUUCGGAGAAUUCCCGUCAACUAUUCAUUUCAUUCAUGUCAAAUAAAAAGUCCAAUAUUAUGGAGUUGAGGGGAAAUUUCCAACUCCAUGUCUUAUUCUUUGUCAAUAAUCCAUAUUUGUAGCAAUGAAAUAUUAUUGUUCCUCCCCAAGCAAUAAGAUAAAGGGUUGAUUACAAAUCGCUAUAAUCUAGAUUUUGUAUAAUUUUAUAAAGGGCCAGAAAUACCUUGUUUACGUAUCAUUAGGAAAUGCAUUAACAUAAAUACGGCAGUAAGAAGAGGUAAUACAAAAGUGUGUAAACUAUAAAACCGAGUCAAAGUGGACUGUCCCACACUAGCACUUCCGCGUAAUAACUCUACCAAAGGCGAUCCUAUUACCGGAAUUGCUUCGGGCACGCCUGUUACAAUUUUUACUGCCCAAUAUCCAAUUUGGUCCCAAGGUAAAGAAUAACCUGUUACACCAAAAGAUGCGGUCAAUACAGCCAGAACCACACCUGUAACCCAAGUCAAUUCGCGAGGUUUUUUAAAACCCCGGUGAGAUACACGCGAAAUACGUGCAGGAUUGUCAUUAGGACCAUCAUACUUGCCGACCAUCGAUGAACCGAUCGAAUUAACCACCCGAAGUUAACUUCCGUCAUUAUGUAUUGAACAGAGGCAAAAGCCUCAGUAACGGUCGGGCGGUAGUAAAAAGUCAUAGCAAACCCUGUAGCUACUUGUACUAAAAAACAAGUGAGCGUAAUUCCUCCCAGACAAUAAAAUAUGUUGACAUGAGGAGGAACGUAUUUACUAGUUAUAUCAUCUGCAAUCGCCUGAAUCUCGAGACGUUCUUCGAACCAAUCGUAGACUUUAUUGAGAUAGGUAAACCAAGAGAACUCCCCUCUGAGAACCGUAUAUGAGAAUUUCAUCUCGUACGGCUCAAACAAAACCACCCCAAUACUGGUAUGGAAUAGAAAAUUGGAAACUUCUUAAUUUUUUGAUUCAAUCUUAUCUAAAAAUACGAAAGAAUAAAAAUAAGAAAGCUUUUCUUUGUGGUUAUAAUUAGAAUGCCAAAAAAUCAAGUCGACGCGCUUAUCUUUAUGUUGAUCGUUACAGGCCUCUUGAAUCUUCUAUUUACCUAUUUCAUUUUCUUUGAUUUGUUAUUUUGAGUUGUAUGUAAUGCAGCUUGACUUUUGUUUUCUUUAUUAUUGCUAGGAAUUUUCUUGUUAAGACCCUAUGAAUCAAUUGAAACCUCAGAUUCAUACUAGAACCACGAUGAUUCAAUAAAACCUUCAAACUAAGUCCAAAGAUUCCAUGAGUAAGAAUCCUUGGAUCAUCAUUUAUUCAAAUUUGUGCUUUGAGUAAAAUAAAAGCAGAAAUGGGGAAUUUGAAAGAAGAAAAAUCUUGCAAUUGCAAAUUUUGUCUUUGGAAAAAUUUUUUGAAUCCGGCCAAGGGGUCUGAAUAUUAAGUAUGAAUCAUAGUUCGAAUACUUCGUGAUCUAUUUCAUAUAUUCCGUGCUCCAGAUACUCGAAUGAAUAUCCGACGGAGUAAAGCCAUCUCGAUCAAGACGACAGAUCUAUGCUCUGUACUAUCAAUAGGAUCAAUUCGAACAAGUCGCACACUCAUAUUCCGGAAAUACAGAAAUAAAAAAUUCGCGGUCGAACUACCAAUCAACGAAAAUCAAAAUCCGAUACCUAAAUGCUUAUUUAAAAGGUAGUAUUUUGUGAUUCUUGUAAAUUUCAUUCUAAUUCAGUGAAAUUCCGUCCAGUAAAACGGACGAAUUAUAAAUCUCCAAAAUAAUAGAUAGGAAUACCGCAAAUAAAGCCAUUGCGACUCCCAUCAAAGGAGUAGUUCCCCAUCCAGGAGCUACUUUACCAUAUUCCGAAUUCAAGGGUUUCAACAACCCCCUGCAGAAGUUCUUUUUGGACGAGCUCUAGAACUACCCUCAACUGUUUGUGUAGCCAUAAAUCCUAUUUUGUAUUGAUUGAGAUCUGUUGACUUUGUAUACCAUUCCGUUGUAAAUAAACGAUCUUAUCAUGGAUCCAGUGUGGUCUUGAAAUUCUAUAAUAAUGGAAACAGCAACCCUAGUCGCCAUCUCUAUAUCUGGGUUACUUGUAAGUUUUACUGGGUACGCCUUAUAUACUGCUUUUGGGCAACCCUCUCAACAACUAAGAGAUCCAUUCGAGGAACACGGGGACUAGUUGAAGUAGAAGUAAUGGGCCUCCCAAUAUUGGGAGGCCCAUUACUUCAAUUGAGAUAAAAAAAAAUCAUUUUGUUUUUUUAGUUGGAACUUUAGGCGGUUCUCGAAAAAAGAUAGCGAAAAAAAUGAUCCCUAGAGUCGAGACUAAGAGGAAUGUAUAAACCAAUGCUUCCAUAAAUUCGAUCGUGGUUUCCAAUUAUAGCUUCCAUACCUGUUUAUUUGGGAUCAUCCCCCGGAUUAAAGAAAAAAAGAAUCAAAAAGGGCGGCGAUUUAAAUCCAUAUUUCUCCAGUACCUUAUACCUUAUUUUAAAUAAAAAGCACAAAUCGAAAAUAGAAGCAGAAGUGAGAAACUAAAAUAGUAGAGCAAUGCUGCAUCAGACUACUUGUCUUCUUGUAGUUGGAUCUCCAAGUUUUUGGAAUACUCCAAAUUCCACUUGAGCGUCCAAAUCCGGGUCAAUACCAGCAAAAACAUCUCUGAACAAGGUUCUAGCACCAUGCCAAAUGUGUCCGAAGAAGAAAAGCAGAGCAAAUGAAGCGUGUCCAAACGUAAACCAGCCCCUUGGGCUGCUACGAAAAACACCAUCGGAUUUCAAAGUAGCACGAUCUAAUUCAAAAAUUUCACCCAAUUGAGCACGUCUAGCAUAUUUUUUCACAGUAGCAGGAUCACUAUAACUCACGCCAUUCAGCUCGCCACCAUAGAACUCAACGGUUACACCUACUUGUUCGACACUAUACUUCGAUUCUGCCCUUCGAAAAGGAACGUCGGCUCUAACAAUUCCAUCUCCGUCUACCAAAACAACUGGAAAUGUUUCAAAAAAAGUAGGCAUACGACGUACAAAAAGUUCACGCCCUUCUUUAUCUCUAAAUAUAGGGUGUCCUAACCACCCGACAGCUAUUCCAUCCCCGUUAUCCAUUGAACCCGCUCUGAAUAAUCCCCUUUCGCAGGAUUAUUUCCGAUGUAAUCAUAAAAAGCUAAUUUUUCAGGAAUUUUAGACCAAGCUUCUGAUAAACUUUGAUUUUCGGCUAGUCCAGCACUGACUCUUCGAUAUAUUUCUUGCUGAAAGUAUCCCUGAUCCCAUUGAUAACGGGUGGGACCAAAUAAUUCGAUGGGGGUAGUUGCUGACCCAUACCACAUAGUUCCAGCAACAACAAACGCUGCAAAAAAGACAGCAGCGAUGCUGCUGGAAAGAACGGUUUCAAUAUUGCCCAUACGUAAUCCUUUGUAUAAGCGUUGUGGCGGGCGGACACUGAGAUGGAAUAAGCCUGCUAAUAUGCCCAAUGUCCCUGCCGCAAUAUGAUGAGAGGCUAUUCCUCCUGGAACAAAAGGAUCAAAACCUUCCACACCCCAUGCUGGAUUUACAGAUUGUACCUUUCCAGUUAGUCCAUACGGAUCAGACACCCAUAUUCCAGGACCAUACAAUCCUGUUACAUGAAAUGUCCCAAAACCAAAGCAAGCCACUCCUGAGAGAAAUAAAUGAAUUCCAAAGAUUUUAGGCAAAUCCAAAGAACGUUUUCCUGUACGGUCAUCAACAAAUAUUGCUAGAUCCCAAUACACCCAAUGCCAGAUAGCUGCCAAGAAGCACAAUCCGGAAAACACAAUAUGUGCCCCGCUACACCUUCGUAACUCCAAAUACCCGGAUUCGUUACUGUCCCCCUGUAAUACUCCAACCACCCCAUGAAUCGGUUAUUCCUAAACGAGUCAUGAAGGGUAUAACGAACAUGCCUUGUCUCCACAUUGGAUCAAGAACUGGAUCGGAGGGAUCAAAAACAGCUAAUUCAUAUAGAGCCAUUGAACCGGCCCAACCCGCAACCAGGGCUGUAUGCAUUAUAUGGACAGCAAUCAAACGACCGGGAUCAUUCAAUACGACGGUAUGAACACGAUACCAAGGCAAACCCAUGGGACUACCCCUUUAUUAAUAAAAAAUAGACACUAUGUAACUUUAUUGCAUUGAAAAAAACUAUGCUAUGUACCCCUUUUUUCAGGGGAUUAUCUCGAAAAAGGGAUUAAUAUUAAUAUUUGUUCUAUUCUUUUAGUAAUAAUGGAAGAGUUCGGUUCGUAGGAAAAAAGAGAAGCAGAUCUAUUCUAUACUCGAUAAGUACCAAUACGCAAUGGGGGUUGAUUCCCUUUUCUAUGAGCGAAUGUAUCCAUAUUUGGUCAUCAUUCAAAAGACUUAUUCGUAAUAAUUUUCCUUUAUUUUAUGAACUUCGUCAAUCUAUGUAUAAACUAAGAUAACGGCCACUAGUAUUAAGACAAGAAGCCCAUUAUUACGCUUCCACAUCAAAGUGAACUAGAGUACUUAAUUCUUUUUUCUUUCAUUUUAUGCCUAUUGGUGUUCCAAAAGUACCUUAUCGAAGUCCCGGGGACAAGCAUCCAUCUUGGGUUGACAUAUAGUGCGACUUGUCAGAUCUAUUGGGUCAUAUGGGAUUUCCCCGUUCUCUCCCCCGAUCGAGAUAUCCUCUGUUUCGCCCAAAAAAUUGAUUGAAUUAUCAAAAAUUUGUAGCGUGAAAUGCAAUGAAGUGCAAUUAGAUCUAUUUCGUGAGGAAGCAUCCAGAUUAAUAUUAGCAAUAAAUCAAUUUUAUGGUCGUCUUGGCUGGACCAAUAAAAUGAGGUAUCCAGGCUCCGUUUAGAAAAACCCAAUUGGUAAUAUAUCUAUGAUUAUUACUUAUAUCAUAAACGAUUCCUUUAUUCGAAAAGCGAUCUCAAACGUUAAUCAACGGAAUGCUAAAUAUGAUGAAUAUGUCAAAUAUUUGGCGGAAGACAUGAAAGAAAUGAAUUAAAAAAGGGGUAAGUCAUAGCAAAAAAGAGACGUGGUAUUGGGGUCAUUUGUCUUAUAUGUGCAAAUCAAAAUCGGGCGAAUCCUUACUCGGAGUAGAGCCUAAACCUAAAAAAAUGGAAGAAGCCCAUUCAAUUCAGGAACAAGAAAAUGGCAUCGUGAUUUUUGGAUCGGAUCUCGAUGAAAAAAUACAUCAAUGAAAAGUUAGUUCGAUAAGUCGAUAAGUUUAGUGAAUUUCUUUUUUAUAUUAGAAUAUUAUAGGUCUAGGAAACCGGCUAAACUCAGCGUUCUUGAAAACCGGAAGAAAAGCCCCUCGAUAGAAGCGAGGAAAAAAGAAAGGAAAGGGGCUAGGAGCUACACAUUGAUUUGUUUUUCGCAAGUUUUGUUGAACCGUAUGCAUCAAAAGAUGCCUGUACGGCUCCGAAAGGAUACUGUUUUAUCCUAAUCAACCGACUUUAUCGAGAAAGAUUACUUUUUUUAGGUCAAAUGGUUGAGAGCGAUAUCUCGAAUCAACUUAUUGGUAUUAUGGUAUAUCUCAGUAUAGAGAACGAGACCAAGGAUUUGUAUUUAUUUAUCAACUCUCCUGGCGGAUGGGUAAUACCCGGGAUAGCAAUUUAUGAUACUAUGCAAUUUGUGCGACCCGAUGUACAGACAAUAUGCAUGGGAUUGGCCGCCUCCAUGGGGUCUUUUCUCCUGGCCGCCGGAGCAAGUACCAAACGUCUAGCAUUCCCUCACGCUUGGCGCCAAUGAGUUUUUUAUUUGAGAGAAAAAAGAAGACUAUGCCUUCGCCAUAUGAAUUCUUAAUAUUAAGUAAUAAUAGCAUGGCACUUCGAAUUCGAUAUGAAAAUUGUUAGUGUUUUUUUUUUUUUUCAAAAUAUUUGAUUAUGUAUCGAAGCAGUAGUAUGAGAUAAAGAAGGGGUAUUCCGAGUUUAUCUUACCUAUCGGAGGCCUAUUGCAGCGCCACACACCUUUUUCACGCCGAAAGGUUCUUAACAAUUAACAAUUAACAAGAUUUAUGGUAUGAAAGAGUACGAAAAUCAAAAAAGAAGAUUAUUUUUGAUUUAUUUCUUUUUUGAUUUUGAUUUGAAAAAAAAAAAAAAGAAACUUUGGGAUUGCUGAAUCACAAAAAAAAUAAAUAUAUAAAGCAACGGAGCCAUCAUAGUAUUUUUGAACUCCUCAAAAAAAAAGAAGGGUGGUAAUUGGAUCAUUUACCCAUCUGGGUAUAAUAGAACCCCCUUUUUAUCCUUGUUUGAUGAAGGGUAAAAAGCAAAUUCCAUUGGCGAGCCGUAUGCAAUGCGAAAAAGUGCCCGUACGGUUGUUCAAUUCUAUCUUUUUCUUUAUCUCUUCCCCUCGCCGAAUCGUGCGAGAUAGAGGAACCUUUUAUUAUGUUAUAAUAUAUCAUCAGGGUCAUGAUCCAUCAACCUAUUGGCGCUUUUUAUGGGGCACAAACGGGAGAAUUUAUCCUGGAUACGGAAGAACUACUGAGACUGCGCGAAAUCCUUACAAUGGUUUAUGUACAAAGAUCGGGCAAGCCCUUAUGGGUUGUAUCCGAAGACAUGGAAAGGGAUACUUUUAUGUCAGCAACAGAAGCCCAAGCUCAUGGACUUGUUGAUCUUGUAGCGGUUGGAUAAAACAUAGCAGUCACUUCUUAAGGGUUUAAUAUUCUAUUAAACAGAAGAAAUUCAUAAUCAUCCGGUUAGGAUCGAUCUAAACCAGCCCAUAAUGGAUAAUUCAGCAUGCCAACUAUUAAACAACUUAUUAGAAACCCAAGACAGCCAAUUAGAAAUGUUACCAAAUCCCCCGCUCUGCGGGGAUGUCCUCAGCGCCGAGGAACAUGUACAAGGGUGUAUGUGCGACUCGUUUCAAUCAUGGGCUGAGACAAACCAAAAGAAAGAAACCCUUUUUUAAGUAUCAAUGAUCAGUACCUGUGAAUCGGAUAGAAUAGAAGAAGAAGAACUCCAUUCACUAUCUAAAAAAAGAUCGAUCUAUCAUAUCUUUCUAUUGUGUAUGAAAUUUAUGGUUUCCACUGGCGCAAAUUCCACCACCUCAAUUUGCAAUUAAUUUAAGGUGAGAAAGAAUUCCCCAUUGGUAACAAAUAGUUAUCCAUUAAGCGGGGGAAAUACUAUAAAAAAGCAGAAAGAUUAUCUUUCUACUCUUGCAAGAACGGACUAACAAGGUCAGCUACCCCACCAAUCUUCAUAAUUAAAUACCGUUACUGUAUAAGGUCUAUCUCGUUAUGAAAGACCUAUUACUAGAAAAUUCAUGGGUAGAGCCGAAGAGUGGUAACUGUACAAGUUACCAAUAGAAUUGAUUAAAUGAAGGAAGUGGCUCCGGUGUAUAGAGAGGGCCUCACCGUUUAAGAAGUAAUCAUAGAGACGACGGAACCCACAAUUUCUUUAUCUAUUUACUACUUUCGUUUUUUUUUUACUAUUUUCUUUCCAAUGCCUCGACAAAAGGUAAAAGCGUGGUCGGGAAGGUUAGAGUAGCAAAAGCCAUUGGAAUUUUGAUUUUAUAAAUUGGAAGAGUCCGUUUUGUUAUUAAUAGACUAGGAAAGGGGAAAAGAAUAACUGAAAGAAAGGAAAUCAAUUAGUUAUUCAUCAAAGUUUCAUUUAUUCAAUGACCAGAAUUAGACGAGGAUAUAUAGCUCGGAGACGUAGAACAAAAAUGCGUUUAUUUGUAUCAAGCUUUCGCGGGGCUCAUUCACGACUUAGCCGAACAAUUACUCAACAGAAAAUAAGAGCUUUGGUUUCGGCUCAUCGCGAUAGAGAUAGGAAAAAAAGAGAUUUUCGUCGUUUGUGGAUCACCCGAAUAAAUGCAGUAAUUCGCGGAAAUCUGGUAUCCUAUAGUUAUAGUAGAUUAAUAUACAAUCUGUAUAAGGCGCAGUUGGUUCUUAAUCGUAAGAUACUUGCACAAAUAGCUAUAUCAAAUAGGAAUUGUCUUUAUAUGAUUUCCAAUGAGAUUAUAAAAUAAGGAAAUUGGAAGGAAUCCAUUAUAAUUUUUAAACGGAGUUCUCUGGAGAAUGAACUCCAGUAAGAGGAAGGUAGAGUAGAAAUAAUAUGAUAAAGUCGUCAAAAUGAGCGAACACGCUCAAUAAAAAAAAAGAUUGAUUUUAUUCUUCUUUCCCAAUUCUUUUUUUUUUUUUUUCUUACGGCACGGCUGCUUCACAGAUUUUUUGAACAAAACAUCCAUCUGUGUUUGAGUUCAGAUUGGAAUUUUUAUUUAAUUGAAGAGUAAGCCUAUUUUUUUCUGGUUCUAAGACCGGGAGGUCUAGCGGUCAACCCACUUCUUUCAAAUUGUUUCUCAUUAUUAAGAAAAGGUAACGAAGAUAAAAUACGAGCUUGUUUUAUAGCAAUAGUAAUUAAUCGUUGUUCUUUUAAGGUCAAUCUAUUCACCCGUCUAGAUAAUAUUUUUCCUUGUUCACUAAGAAAUCGACUAAUUAAAGUCAUGUUUCUAUAAUCAAUUCGAUCCCCGAUUGGAUCGGGGGCAAACGCCUACGAAAAGAUCGCUUGGAUUUAAGAAAGAGUCGCUUGGUUUUAUCCAUAAUUUGUUUAUUCCUUAUCCCUAAAAUCCCAUUUCGAUGAAAUCAAAAAAUGAUUUAUAGAAUCCAUUAUAGGAUUUGGUUUGUCUAGAUUUAUUUAUUUGUUUUUAUUAAAAUAUAUGAAAUAAUCUAGAUAUAUAUCUAGAUUAGUUUUUCAUGUCCCUUGGAAGGGUGACACAAAAGCACGCGGCUUGACUCUAUCUAUUUUUUUAUCUCCCCAUGAAGUGUAUGCUUGUAACAAUAGGGACAGAAUUUUCUCAAUUCCAAUCGACUGGGUGUAUUGUGUCGAUUCUUUUGAGUAAUAUAUCUGGAAAUACCCCUUGAUUCCUUAUUAACACCGUUUCGAACACAACUAGUACAUUCCAAAAUAACCCUUACUCGGACCUCUUUACCUUGGCCAUGAACCUCCUUGGGGUUUUUGAUUCACCCAACUUUUCUAUUUUCCGACCCGCAACGAAUAAGAACACGACAAAAAAAUAGAAUUGUAACACUCAAAAAAAACUAUGAAAAAAAUUUAUUGCAACAAUAAAAAUAAAAGAAAAAAAAAAAAAAAAAAAAAAAAAAAAAAAAAAAAAAAAAAAAAAAAAAAAAAAAAAAAAAAAAAAAAAAAAAAAAAAAAAAAAAAAAAAAAAAAAAAAAAAAAAAAAAAAAAAAAAAAAAAAAAAAAAAAAAAAAAAAAAAAAACAAA
rnacentral:lncRNA from 1 species